UACGGAGGGUGCGAGCGUUGUCCGGAAUCACUGGGCGUAAAGGGCGCGUAGGCGGCCUGAUAAGUAGGGGGUGAAAUCCUGCGGCUUAACCGCAGGGCUGCCUUCUAAACUGUCAGGCUGGAGCACAGUAGAGGCAGGUGGAAUUCCCGGUGUAGCGGUGGAAUGCGUAGAGAUCGUAAGGAAGGCCAGCGGCGAAGGCGAGUCUCUGGACAGUUACUGACGCUGAGGCACGAAGGCCAGGGGAGCAAACGGG
rnacentral:rRNA from 1 species